rnacentral:misc_RNA from 1 species
GGGAGGUAGGCCCUGCCCUAUGCUUUAUAAAGUAAACGGCUGCAUAAAUCUGAGUGUACUAAGGUAGCGCUACAAUUUGCCCUUUAAAUGGGGGCUGGUAUGAAGGGGUUCACGUGGUGGUUGCUGUGUCACAAAAAUUUUUUGAAAUUAACUUUUAGGUGAAGAGGCUUAAUUGAGUUUAAAGGACGACAAGACCCUAGAAGUUUUAUCGAGGGCGGGUUAUGAUUUAAUUUGCUUCGGUUUUGUUGGGGCAACAGAGUUAGAAAACAUAACUUGACUUCAUAUACUUAUAAGUAAAACCCACACUGGUGAACAAGGAAUAGUUACUCUAGGGAUAACAGCGUUAUUUUUUUUAAUAGUACGUAUUGUAAAAAAAGAUUGCGACCUCGAUGUUGGACUAAGGUGUCCUUAAGGCGUAGAAGCCUUAAAGGGUUGGCCUGUUCGUCCAUUAAAACCUUACAUGAUCUGAGUUCAAACCGGAGA